rnacentral:rRNA from 1 species
CUGGCGGCGUGCUUAACACAUGCAAGUCGAGCGGAAAGGCCUCUUCGGGGGUACUCGAGCGGCGAACGGGUGAGUAACACGUGAGUAACCUGUCCUUGGCUUUGGGAUAACCCUCGGAAACGGGGGCUAAUACCGGAUAUGACCUUGUCCUGCAUGGGGUGGGGUGGAAAGUUUUUUCGKCUAGGGGUGGGCUCGCGGCCUAUCAGCUUGUUGGUGGGGUGAUGGCCUACCAAGGCGACGACGGGUAGCCGGCCUGAGAGGGCGACCGGCCACACUGGGACUGAGACACGGCCCAGACUCYUACGGGAGGCAGCAGUGGGGAAUAUUGCACAAUGGGCGGAAGCCUGAUGCAGCGACGCCGCGUGAGGGAUGACGGCCUUCGGGUUGUAAACCUCUUUCAGCAGGGACGAAGCGUGAUUGAC